rnacentral:lncRNA from 1 species
AGGGAGGCGGGCGAGAGGCUGGUGGAGAAGAUGGGCCUCUAUGCCACGGAGCAGGAGGUGAUGGACAUGCAGCCCUUCGUCAAGGAUGCGCUGGAGGAGCUGCGGAGGCAGCGCCCGGCGGCGGACGGGGAGCUGGUGCUGCAUGAGGACUUUGCCGAGUGCCGUGCCAGGCUGCAGGCGCUGACUGAUCGCAUCGAGGGGCUGCAAGGUGGCGCUCCCCAGCCGGUCCCCCAAAUGGAGGCGGCUCUGGAGAACAACCCGGUGUCUCAAGCCACCACGCGGUCCAAGCGGUGCCAGCCUCACAUGGAGAGGAGCAGCCAGAUCUCACCCAAGCUGCUGAAGCUGGAGCGGGAUGGCGGUGAACCCAGCUCGAGCCAGUGGGAUGGCAGAGGGGGGCCCAGCACCUCCACACAGAGACACAACGGCCGCAUCCCCAACUCCAAGGCCAGCAGGAGCCGCACUCGGGAUGCAGAGGAUGGCAGCAUCAUCAUCAGCUCGGAGGACAGCGAGGAGGACACGGUGAUGAGCGGGACAUCGGACUUCACCUCUUGCUGAGCUGCAACCCUGUCUUCUCUGCUCUGGAAGGCAACAAAACCCCCCUAGGUUUGCCUGAAGAGCCCACAUGGCAGCAUCCCCAGGGGCAGAGGGACAGCUCUGGGCAUAGGGGACAGUUCAGGUUUGGGCUCUUAUCUGAGACAUUCACACAUAAAAGGAUGUGAGAGCCUGAAACUGUCCCCAGUAUCACCUUCCAGCAGUGCUUCAGCAGUUUCAGCAGGAGCAGGACUUCCUCUGAGAUAUGGAGGUGGAUAUGGAGGCUACUCACUUUUUAAACUUCUCUUCCUGUUUAAGCUUCAGGCUGUGCUCAGAUAACACAAAGCUCACACUGCUGCAGGGAGAGCUGUUCAAACUGUCGCUUGUAGCACUUCCUUCUAUAAGACAUGGAUGUCCGAGUCCCUCCACCACCCCAUUCUGAUAGAGAUUAUCAUGGAGCUCCCUGGGAAGAUUAUUCCUAGCUGAAAAAAAAAAAGAAAAAAGAAAAGAAAAGAAAAGAAAACACACAAAAAAAACCAGUUUUCUUAUGAAAUUCUUAUCUGCACGCUCCAGUGCUGCAGCCCAACAGCCAGGCAGAGGGCAGAGGCUGUGAGAUGGGAUCGCUGCUGGGAUGGCCCCACCAGCAGCAUCACUGCUGGCUGGCUGAGCAUCCGACAGCAUUUUUUGUAUCAACUCCUCAUGCAAAAGUUUCUUUGUAUUCAAUAAAGGCGUUUCCGGAUCAAAUCCCCCUUCUUUU